rnacentral:rRNA from 1 species
AGUGAACGCUGGCGGUAGGCCUAACACAUGCAAGUCGAACGGCAGCACAGUAAGAGCUUGCUCUUACGGGUGGCGAGUGGCGGACGGGUGAGGAAUACAUCGGAAUCUACUUUUUCGUGGGGGAUAACGUAGGGAAACUUACGCUAAUACCGCAUACGACCUACGGGUGAAAGCAGGGGAUCUUCGGACCUUGCGCGAUUGAAUGAGCCGAUGUCGGAUUAGCUAGUUGGCGGGGUAAAGGCCCACCAAGGCGACGAUCCGUAGCUGGUCUGAGAGGAUGAUCAGCCGCACUGGAGCUGAGACACGGUCCAGACUCCUACGGGAGGCAGCAGUGGGGAAUAUUGGACAAUGGGCGCAAGCCUGAUCCAGCCAUACCGCGUGGGUGAAGAAGGCCUUCGGGUUGUAAAGCCCUUUUGUUGGGAAAGAAAAGCAGCAGGUUAAUACCCCGCUGUUCUGACGGUACCCAAAGAAUAAGCACCGGCUAACUUCGUG